AUAGAUCCCUGACACCUGAGCCAGAUGAAAUGAAAAUUAACUUGAAAAAAAUCUUACUCAUUUUGUGCCUCAGGAACUUGUUGAACAAAAUGUUUUAUCAAAGAGGUCAAAGGACAAACCACAAAUUCAGUGAACUCAGGACCACACAUACUUUCUAUGAAUCACAGACUUCCCUGGUGGUGCAGUGGUUAAGAAUCUGCCUGCCAAGGCAGGGGACACGGGUUCGAGCCCUGGUCCGGGAAGAUCUCACAUGCCACGGAGCAACUAAGCCUGUGCGCCACAACUACUGAGCCCGCGUGCCACAACUACUGAAGCCCACGCGCCUAGAGCCCAUGCUCUGCAACAAAGAGAAGCCACCGCAAUGAGAAGCCCACGCACCACAAUGAAGAGUAGUCCCUGCUUGCCGCAACUAGAGAAAAUCCCGCAUGCAGCAACGAAGACCCAACGCAGCCAAAAAAAAAAAAAAAUUCCCUUCAGAAAAAUUCAAGUUUUAAAUCAGUGAUUCACCCCUGUGUUUAUAUUCUUGUCCACUGUAUAAGUGUUAACAGCAAUCUGUUCUUGAGUCCCUGGCUCUGUAACAUAACAGGGAAGGAAUGGUUGUGGCCUUCGUCAGGAGAUUUUGGCAUAAACCCCUGUACACACUUGAAAACAAUGAGAAUAUUCACCAAUAUAUUUUAACAUGUGAACCUUGCUAACUUGUUUUUAGGAAAAACACAUUUGAAAAACACCCUUGGAUUAUCAUCAGCUUGUGUAAAGUAUAUAUUUAGGAUCUGAAAGACAUUUUGAGGACUAAUUUUUCACUGAUUCUAGUAACACACCCUUCUUUCUAGGCUUUUCUGUUUGUCUGUUUGCUUUCCCAUGUUAGCAUGGAAUAAAUAAUUUCACUCAGACAUUCUUUGUAAAGACCAUUUUCUUGCAGAAAAGCUGGGGAAAAGUCUUUUUAUUAAAACAUUGGGGUAUAGUUGCUUUACAAAAUUGUGUUUAGUUUCUGCUGUACAACAAAGUGAAUCAGCUAUAUGUAUACAUAUAUCCACUCCCUCUUGGACCUCCCACCUUCCCACAUCCCACCCAUCUAGGUCACCACAGAGCACCGAGCUGAGCUCCCUGUGCUAUACAGCAGGUUCCCACUAGCUAUCUGUUUUUCACAUGGUAGUGUAUGUAUGUCAAUUCCAAUCUCCCAAUUCAUCCCACCACCCUUACCCCCCUCCAUGUCCACAUGUCCAUUCUCUACGUCUGUGUCUCUAUUCCUGCAAAUAAGUUCAUCUGUACCAUUUUUUCUAGGUUCCACAUAUAUGUGUUAAUAUACGAUAUUUGUUUUCCUCUGUCUGACUUACCUAAUCUGUGACAAAGGAGAAAAGAAUAUACAAUGGAGAAAAAGUCUUAAUAUUAAUCUUCUCUGCUUACCUUGCUCUCC